UACAGAGGUCUCAAGCGUUUGUUCGGAUUCAUUGGGCGUAAAGGGUGCGUAGGCGGCGCGGUAAGUCGGGGUGUGAAAUCUCGGAGCUUAACUCCGAAACUGCAUUCGAUACUGCCGUGCUUGAGGACUGGAGAGGAGACUGGAAUUUACGGUGUAGCGGUGAAAUGCGUAGAUAUCGUAAGGAAGACCAGUGGCGAAGGCGGGCAUCCUGGA
rnacentral:rRNA from 1 species